UACACGCUCCUUAGAUCCACCUCUAGAGGGCUCUGUGCUCUUGAGCUAAGCCUCUCUGCAGCUUUGCGGCUGUACAAUUGGAGGUGCUUGAGUCAUUGGCGUGUUAGAGCAGUCUACCUGUUCCCCGGCUUACCUGCACCCCUGGCAACCCUGUCCUCAAUAAGGCAGGGCAUCUCCCAGUGUUGCUAGCUUGGUGGACGGACAAC